GUAUUUACUUAGUGAAAUUCAAAAUAAAUUCAAUUUAAAUAUUAAUACAAAUCACGUAUUUUGUAUUUUUUUUACUCGUUCUUGAAAUUGAACUGAGUUUAUUCGUUUUUGGCCAUGUCCGUCUUGCUAUCUGCCCGUGCUUCCGCUUGACUGCCCGUAAGAAUAAAAGUAAUGGAAGCUAGAGACUUGAAAAUUUACAACACUACCCUCGAUUCAUCUGCAGGGGCGUGGCAAGUUGUCUCCUAUCAGUUAAAGUUGUAUGUAUGUAUGUAUGCAUGUAGAUAUGUAAGCUAAAUACAAUAUGCAUCCCAAGCCGUUGUCUGAGCGGAAAGGAAGUGAUUCCAUACAAGUUGGCAGAGGGUUGUGUUAAAUGUCAAUUAAAGUGGAACUGAUGCCAAUUACACGUCUCUGGUUCAAGGAUGUGCUGCACAAUGCGGCGUAUGCGCAAUUUAUGCACGUGCCGUUCGGGCAAUGCCGCUGCUGCUAAAAAGCUCAUAUGAUAUGGCAUGUGCAUGACAUUAGAUCGAAUUCUUGGCCGUUUGGCGACUGCAUGCCAGCUGGAAAGGCGCAUCGAGCUGGUGAUUGAGCAAUCGGCGAUUGAUACACCUGCCCAACUGCCUCGCGCACUUGCAACGCAUGGAAAUUUACAACAUAUAAUUGAUUGAUUGACUUGUUGUUGUUGUUAUUGUUGUUUGCUGUGAUUUGUUGUUGUUGUGGCUGUUCUAGCUGUUGUUGUUGUUCUUGUGUAGCGCCAGUUAAAUGAAUUGCACGG